UCAAAUAAAGUGCGAUGUUCUCCCUGCCAAACUACAUGGUAACACUUCUCUCACUUGUUAUUUUCCUGAGGAUGUCAGUAAAACUAGGACAGACUUCAGUGUCUAUCUAUACACAGAUAAAAGCAGUCCAGAUACGACCUCAUCUUGUCAUGUUACAAGUGUGAAGGAGAAUGAGCCGACAACAUUCACAUGUACCUUCAGUGUUGACCUCAGGGUCACGAGACAGAACAUCAAAGUCAUCCAUCAAAGCACCACAGGUAAUAAAAAUAAUGAUUUUGCUCCUUGACCCUGUCAUGUUAUAUACUUCGACAAAAUAUAAUCAUCUUCCAAACUAAGUUGCUAUACUAGGUCUUGAUAUCAAAUGUUAUUAUUGAAUAUAACUAUCCUGCUUUAGUUUCAGCGUCUAACACACCAGUCGGAACUAUCAUCGCUGUGACUGUUGUAGUUAUAAUAGUCAGGUUGGUUACUGUGACACUGAUCAUCGCCUUCAUCAGGAAACGCAGAUCGCGGAAACCAUCAGAAGAGAAAAUGUUGGUGAAGGGCAGCCUAUGAUACAAACCCCCCACAGGAAGUCGAUAAAACUACAAACAACUUCUUGGCUGACCUCUCCAAGGUUUUCGGAAGACAUAUCCCGAGUAUAACACAAAAGCCUAUGUUGUGCCGUCCGCUGUACUUCAAUGACGUCACAUAUGAAGUGAACACCUUUGCUGGAGAAGACGUGUACGUCACCAGGCCACCCGAUCAACAAACUGUGAAGCACGACAUGGCCAUGCGUCGGGUGUUGACAAGUCUUCACCUUCUAGCAAACUUUGGAAAGAAAGUGAUGUUUGUCAUAUCGCAGUUUGACUACGACAAGUACUUGUCUAAUCCUAGAAGGAGUUCACUAAACACAAUUUACCAAGACCUGGUGAACUGAGGAAGGACGACAAACACUACGGAGACUUUGACAUCCUUAUCAUUCAUCGACAUCACGGGCUGGUGGUCGGGGUGGUCAAGACAUGUUCUGGUGGGGGUCACAAUCAAAGGGUAGAGGAUACACCCCAGACGGUGGUCGAGGAGCUCAAACAAGGCUGCAAACAACUGGAUGAGGCAGAGAAAAUGUUACAACAUCUUCUGUCAGAUCGCAUAAGAAGUCAAAACCAACAAAUGAAGGUUAAAAAAUUAUUAAUUCUGCCAAAUCUUUGGGAAGAGAUUUUGUGGGAUGUCCUUAGAAAAAAGGAAAACAAAAAUGUGGCAGAGAAUUUAAAGAAGUGUCUUGGAUUACCGGAAACUGCUGACAUUUCUAAAAAAUGUCUCUGUGGUGAUCACAUGUGGCGUCCAAACAGACCCCAGAAAGAUUAAAGACUGGUUCAGCCGACGAUUUUCUGAGUCACG